rnacentral:pre_miRNA from 1 species
GAUGUACUCCCUCCGUUCGGAAUUACUUGUCGCAGAAAUGGAUGUAUCUAGAUGUAUUUUAGUUCUAGAUACAUCCAUUUCCAAGACAAGUAAUUCUGAACGGAGGGAGUACAUA